GCUGGACCGAUUGUGAGAACAAAAAAAAACAAAGCAAUCACGUCAAAUAAAGACAUCUCAGAUUGGACACUGACAGAUGCCUUCCCAAAGUCGCAGAACUCACUCGGCUCAAACUUUGUUUGGUUUGUAUCACGUUGAACAGUCUGAGUCCCACCUCACAUGAGCCUGACAUAUAAAUCUUAGGGUUUGUUGUUUUAAUUUCGGAGUCUGAAAGCAGCAUUUCUACACAGACUCUCCAAGGAGAAGAAAGAGAUCACUGGAGUGUCUAUUUUAGAGUGGACGUCCCUUUCUGAACACAACCUUUCUAACCAAGCAACCUUCCACCUCAGUUGGGUCUAUUUUGGUGAAGCAACUAAACUUUACUUGGUUUAAUGCAGCCAUUGCCGUUUUCCUCGGGUUGACCUCAAUCACUGGAGCAGGACUGCAGUGCGUGCUGCAUUUAAUUAUCUACAGUGAAUUUGAUUAUCAGGAAAUAUGGUGCAUAUCAAGUGAAUUCCUGCCCUCUAGAAAUAUUUAUUUUCUGUAUGGUUAAAGUUGGAAAAGGAUGACAUGGGAACUUCAGUCGAUACAAAAGGCGCCAGCUAAUGAGACUGGUUAGUGAUUCAAAUUUAUGGAAAUUUUAUUAAUUACAGAAACCUAUCUUUCAUCCGUACCAUUUGGUUCGUGAAGUAAUUAAAGCCAACAAUGGCUGCUGCUGCAGUUAAGGAACCAAACAAGAUCAAAGAAGACGGAGCAUUGAGGAGAAAGUCCUGCAUAUCCUGAUCCGGGCCUAGCCGUGGGCAGCAUGGCCUCAUUAAAACCAAAUCGAGCUGAUCAUCAAUUAACCUGCUUUGUUUUGCUUCUGAUUUGUAACUUGCAUCACAACAGUUCCCCAGAGUUAAAAGUUUUUGCCAGAGGGGAAGGAGGCUUAUAAGGGCUGUCUUUGUGGUAAGGAGGGACGACUUUUGAUUGGUCGACUAGAGAGAAAGCAUGACCUUUACCUCUCUAAGGACUUAAUAAACAUUCAGAAGAAUUUUACAUUUUAACCUAAAUCUCCAGUCAUCGUUGUUUUUGAUGUAACAAGUGAAAAUUGAAACAA